CCGACCCAUAGGCUGCUACGGCAAACCAUGCUGAGGAAACACCGUCCUCCGUAUGGAUCUGGAGCCCCGCAAGGGGCUAGGGUAAUACCCUAGGCUCUGGCACAGAAACGAUAUAUCCACAAAUCAAUGAGGAUGAUGCAGAGAGACUCCUUGGGUAACCGAGGAGUAGAAAACCUGCUGACGAGAUUUGUGGGAGUAGUGAAACGGCUAGCCUCCAGGGAGUAAGGAUCACCCGAUGAAAUCUCCAUAUAAUGGGUGGAUAACCGCUCUAGCCAAAUGCAGCCAUAUACAGAAGACGGGUUAUUAUGGGUCGG
rnacentral:RNase_P_RNA from 1 species